CUCGUUGAGCUUCUGGCUCGCUGGGCUUGCUCUCGCUUUCGCCCUGCUCCUCCAGCACUCAAACCCGCCAGAGCCAGAAACCAUGACAUUGAAGAUGACACCCAAGUACCUCUUUUGACACGCUUAUCACGUCCCAUGACAGACUUUGCUUGCGUUCCAGGCCAUCAACAUAACAUAGAUGUUGAAUUACAUCAACCAAUGGACUUGUGUGCCACAUCAUCGACUGCACAGUCAGGCGCCAGACUACUAAAUCAUAUGUUAGCUGAUAUGUUAAAUACCUAUCCAAAUGUUGUAUAUCUGUCUGGUGUCUCAGCCAGGAACGUGACCUGCCUGACCAAUCCUAACUACUCCAACAAACAUGUAGGACUUCCACCCUCAAUUCUUAAUUUAGAGAUGGGCCUGAUCCAGGACCAACCCCUAGUCCAGCUAUUAAAUCUGCCCAUUGCCCUCAAGUACUUGGAUGCAGGUUUUCUGCUUAUACAAGUUUUCUACCUGAGUGUAAAGAUUCACUGAUUGGCCAGUCCACCCACCUGCUAUCCAAUUUUCCUGAUUAAGAGAGAACGAGAGCCAGCAGUACUUUGGUCCUCAAUGGCCUCAGUGUCUGGCAUCAUUUGUGAUGGUGAUACUGAUGACCCUCUCCUAGACCCUGAAGGAAUACCAGACACACCAUCUGAUGAUGUGCCUGACCCCUCAGCCCCAGGCCUACCAGAAGGGUGUCCUCUUUGGCGAGCGCUUCAGUUGCACCGUAUGUUUUGACGUAGUCCUGAAACAACAAGCGAUCAACACAUCAAUUCUUGGACUCAAACAGCAGCUGGAGGAUUGCCAGAGCUAUGGGUGGAUGGAAACACUACGUCAGGCAUGGGCUCAUCAGGUCAGCGGAAUGCCAUUUUUAUUGCAAUGUCGUGGAG
rnacentral:lncRNA from 1 species